GACGAACGCUGGCGGCGUGCUUAACACAUGCAAGUCGAACGGAAAGGCCCUGCUUUUGUGGGGUGCUCGAGUGGCGAACGGGUGAGUAACACGUGAGUAACCUGCCCUUGACUUUGGGAUAACUUCAGGAAACUGGGGCUAAUACCGGAUAGGAGCUCCUGCUGCAUGGUGGGGGUUGGAAAGUUUCGGCGGUUGGGGAUGGACUCGCGGCUUAUCAGCUUGUUGGUGGGGUAGUGGCUUACCAAGGCUUUGACGGGUAGCCGGCCUGAGAGGGUGACCGGCCACAUUGGGACUGAGAUACGGCCCAGACUCCUACGGGCGGCAGCAGUGGGGAAUAUUGCACAAUGGGCGGAAGCCUGAUGCAGCAACGCCGCGUGCGGGAUGACGGCCUUCGGGUUGUAAACCGCUUUCGCCUGUGACGAAGCGUGAGUGACGGUAACGGGUAAAGAAGCACCGGCUAACUACGUG
rnacentral:rRNA from 1 species